ACUUGGAUAGCUUAAUUUAAAGCUUAAUAUUGAAGCUAUUAUGAUAAGAUAAUUCUUUUCAAGUA
rnacentral:tRNA from 1 species